AUCCCAUUUAUGCUUUUAUCUAAAAGUUUGCUAUUUUCUGAUGAGAAAGUGCUUAUUAUAUUGAAACGCAUAUCAGCAUUUAGCAUGUGCUAUGUCAAGGAACACUUGCCUGUUAAUUUAUCAGUCUUAAGGGAGCUCGGAAUUCGUCAAUCUACCUUCUCUAUUUUGAUUACCAGUUGCCCCAAAACUGUAUGCUCAAAUUCUGAAAAGUUUAGUGAAGCUGUCAAAAAUGUUAUAGGUAUGGGAUUUGAUCCUCUGAAUCUUUCAUUUGCCGAUGCUCUUCGAGUGAUAAUUCAAAUGAAAUCCAAAA